AUUUAUAUAGUUUAAAAAAAACAUUAUAUUUUCAUUAUAAAAAAAAUAAUUAAUUUAUUUAUAAAUU
rnacentral:tRNA from 1 species